rnacentral:rRNA from 1 species
AGUUCGAUCAUGGCUCAGAUUGAACGCUGGCGGGAUGCUUACACAUGCAAGUCGAACGGCAGCACGGACUUCGGUCUGGUGGCGAGUGGCGAACGGGUGAGUAAUGUAUCGGAACGUGCCUAGUAGCGGGGGAUAACUACGCGAAAGGUAGCUAAUACCGCAUACGGCCUCGGGGGAAAGCGGGGACCUUCGGGCCCUCGCACCAUUAGAGCGGGCCGAUAUCGGAUUAGCUAGUUGGUGGGGUAACGGCUCAACAAGGCGACGAUCCGUAGCUGGUUUGAGAGGACGACCAGCCACACUGGACCGAGAUACGGCCCAGACUCCUACGGGAGUGCAGCAGGGAAUUUUUGGACAAUGGGGGAAACCCCGAUCCAGCCAUCCCGCGUGUGCGAUGAAGGCCGGGUUGUAAAGCACUUUUGGCAGGAAAGAAACGGCACGGGAUAAUACCCCGUGCAACUGACGGUACCCAGAAUAAGCACUGGCUAACUACGUGCCAGCAGCUGCGGUAAUACGUAGGGUGCAAGCGUGACUGAAUUACUGGGCGUAAAGCGUGCGCAGGUGGUUCGGAAAGAAAGAUGCGGAAAUCCUGAGCUUAACUUUGGAACUGCAUUUUAAUCAAUGAGCUAGAGUGUGUCAGAGGGAGGUGAAAUUCCGCGUGUAGCAGUGAAAUGCGUAGAUAUGCGGAGGAACACCGGAUGGCGAAGGCAGCCUCCUGGGAUAAAUACUGACGCUCAUGCACGAAAGCGUGGGGAGCAAACAGGAUUAGAUACUCCUGGUAGUCCACGCCCUAAACGAUGUCAACUAGCUGUUGGGGCCUUCGGCCUUGCAGCGCAGCUAAUGCGGUGUGAAGUUGACCGCUCGGGGAGCACGGUCGCAAGAUUAAAACUCAAAAAGGAAUUGACGGGGACCCGCACAAGCGGUGGAUGAUGUGAUUAAUUCGAUGCAACGCGAAAAACCUUACCUACCCUUGAUAUGUCUGGAAUCCCGAAGAGAUUUGGGAGUGCUCGCAAGAGAACUGUCAGAACACAGGUGCUGCAUGGCUGUCGUCAGCUCGUGUCGUGAGAUGUUGGGUUAAGUCUCGCAACGAGCGCAACCCUUGUCAUUAGUUGCUACGAAAGGGCACUCUAAUGAGACUGCCGGUGACAAACCGGAGGAAGGUGGGGAUGACGUCAAGUCCUCAUGGCCCUGGCGGGUGGGGGCUUCACACGUCAUACAAUGGUCGGGACAGAGGGUCACGUCCGGGCGAGGGGGAGCCAAUCCCAGAAACCCGAUCGUAGUCCGACUGCAGUCUGCAACUCGACUGCGUGAAGUCGGAAUCGCUAGUAUCGCGGAUCAGCAUGUCGCGGUGAAUACGGUCCCGGGUCUUGUACACACCGCCCGUCACACCAUGGGAGUGGGUUUUACCAGAAGUAGUUAGGCCUAACCGUAAGGAGGGCGAUUACCACGGUAGGAUUCAUGCACCGGGUGAAGUCGUAACAAGGUAA